rnacentral:rRNA from 1 species
GCAAGUCGAGCGCGAACGUGACUUCGGUCACUAGUAGAGCGGCGAACGGGUGAGUAACACGUGGACAACCUGCCUGGAUGUGGGAACAACGCAGGGAAACCGGAGCUAAUACGGCAUACGUUACUAGAUCGCGAGUUCUAGGAAGAAAGGCAGCCAAUCCUUGGAAGCGGUCGCAUUCAGAGGGGUCCGCGGCUGAUUAGCUAGUUGGUGGGGUAACGGCCCACCAAGGCGACGAUCAGUAACCGGCCUGAGAGGGUGAAC